rnacentral:rRNA from 1 species
AACGUAGGAGACAAACGUUAUCCGGAGUUACUGGGCGUAGAGGGCGUGUAGGUGGUUGCGUAAGUCUGGCGUGAAAUUUUUCGGCUUAACCGGGAAAGGUCGUCGGAUACUGCGUAGCUAGAGGACGGUAGAGGCGUGUGGAAUUCCGGGUGUAGUGGUGAAAUGCGUAGAGAUCCGGAGGAACACCAGUGGCGAAGGCGACACGCUGGGCCGUACCUGACACUGAUGCGCGACAGCAUGGGGAGCAAACAGG